rnacentral:rRNA from 1 species
UACGGGGGGGGCAAGCGUUGUUCGGAAUUACUGGGCGUAAAGGGCUCGUAGGCGGCCAACUAAGUCAGACGUGAAAUCCCUCGGCUUAACCGGGGAACUGCGUCUGAUACUGGAUGGCUUGAGUUCGGGAGAGGGAUGCGGAAUUCCAGGUGUAGCGGUGAAAUGCGUAGAUAUCUGGAGGAACACCGGUGGCGAAGGCGGCAUCCUGGACCAAUACUGACGCUCAGGUGCGAAAGCGUGGGGAGCAAACAGG